rnacentral:rRNA from 1 species
AGCGGAGGAAAAGAAACCAACAGGGAUUGCCCUAGUAACGGCGAGUGAAGCGGCAACAGCUCAAAUUUGAAAUCUGGCCUUCGGGUCCGAGUUGUAAUUUGUAGAGGAUGCUUUUGGUGAGGUGCCUUCCGAGUUCCCUGGAACGGGACGCCAUAGAGGGUGAGAGCCCCGUCUGGUUGGACACCGAUCCUCUGUAAAGCUCCUUCGACGAGUCGAGUAGUUUGGGAAUGCUGCUCUAAAUGGGAGGUAUAUGUCUUCUAAAGCUAAAUAUUGGCCAGAGACCGAUAGCGCACAAGUAGAGUGAUCGAAAGAUGAAAAGCACUUUGAAAAGAGAGUUAAAAAGUACGUGAAAUUGUUGAAAGGGAAGCGCUCAUGACCAGACUUGGGCUUGGUUGAUCAUCCAGGGUUCUCCCUGGUGCACUCUUCCAGUUCAGGCCAGCAUCAGUUCGCUGUGGGGGAUAAAGGCUUUGGGAAUGUGGCUCCCUCGGGAGUGUUAUAGCCCAUUGUGUAAUACCCUGUGGUGGACUGAGGUUCGCGCAUUCGCAAGGAUGCUGGCGUAAUGGUCAUCAGCGACCCGUCUUGAAACACGGACCAAGGAGUCGUCUUCGUAUGCGAGUGUUCGGGUGUUAAACCCCUACGCGUAAUGAAAGUGAACGCAGGUGAGAGCUUCGGCGCAUCAUCGACCGAUCCUGAUGUUCUCGGAUGGAUUUGAGUAAGAGCAUACGGGGCCGGACCCGAAAGAAGGUGAACUAUGCCUGUAUAGGGUGAAGCCAGAGGAAACUCUGGUGGAGGCUCGCAGCGGUUCUGACGUGCAAAUCGAUCGUCAAAUAUGGGCAUGGGGGCGAAAGACUAAUCGAACCUUCUAGUAGCUGGUUUCCGCC